UACUACACAAUAUCGUGUGGGAGAGACCCUGCGUUCAGGUUCGAGCCGAGCGAAGCGAGACAACAACGCGCCAGCGUUGACCCGAAGGGCGAGGCCAGCGGCCGAGUUAUCCCGCACGACCCACCA
rnacentral:sRNA from 1 species